rnacentral:rRNA from 1 species
GAGUUUGAUCAUGGCUCAGAACGUACGCUGGCGGCACGCCUAACACAUGCAAGUCGAACGAAGUAGCAAUACUUAGUGGCAGACGGGUGAGUAACAUGUAGGUAUCUACCCUUUGGCCUGGAAUAACACGAGGAAACUUGUGCUAAUACCGGAUAAGUCUUUACGGAGAAAGCUUUAUGCACCAUUGGAUGAGCCUGCACUUGAUUAGUUUGUUGGUGGGGUAAUGGCCUACCAAGACUGUGAUCAAUAGCUGAUUUGAGAGGAUGAUCAGCCACAUUGGGACUGAGACACGGCCCAAACUCCUACGGGAGGCAGCAGUGGGGAAUCUUGCACAAUGGAGGAAACUCUGAUGCAGCGAUGCCGCGUGAGUGAAGAAGGCCCUUGGGUUGUAAAGCUCUUUCGUCGGGGAAGAAAAUGACUGUACCCGAAUAAGAAGGUCCGGCUAACUUCGUGCCAGCAGCCGCGGUAAUACGAAGGGACCUAGCGUAGUUCGGAAUUACUGGGCUUAAAGAGUUCGUAGGUGGUUGAAAAAGUUGGUGGUGAAAUCCCAGAGCUUAACUCUGGAACUGCCAUCAAAACUUUUCAGCUAGAGUAUGAUAGAGGAAAGCAGAAUUUCUAGUGUAGAGGUGAAAUUCGUAGAUAUUAGAAAGAAUACCAAUUGCGAAGGCAGCUUUCUGGAUCAUUACUGACACUGAGGAACGAAAGCAUGGGUAGCGAAGAGGAUUAGAUACCCUCGUAGUCCAUGCCGUAAACGAUGUGUGUUAGACGUUGGAAAUUUAUUUUCAGUGUCGCAGCAAAAGCGAUAAACACACCGCCUGGGGAGUACGACCGCAAGGUUAAAACUCAAAUGAAUUGACGGGGACCCGCACAAGUAGUGGAGCAUGUGGUUUAAUUCGAAGAUACGCGCAGAACCUUACCAACACUUGACAUGUUCGUCGCGACUUUAAGAGAUUAAAGUUUUCGGUUCGGCCGGACGAAACACAGGUGCUGCAUGGCUGUCGUCAGCUCGUGUCGUGAGAUGUUGGGUUAAGUCCCGCAACGAGCGCAACCCUCACUUUUAGUUGCCAUCAUUAGGUUGGGCACUCUGAAAGAACUGCCAGUGAUAAGCUGGAGGAAGGUGGGGAUGACGUCAAGCCCUCAUGGUCCUUACGUGUUGGGCUACACACGUGCUACAAUGGUAUCUACAACAGGAAGCAAAAUCGCGAGGUUAAGCAAAUCCUUAAAAGAUACCUCAGUUCGGAUUGCACUCUGCAACUCGAGUGCAUGAAGCUGGAAUUACUAGUAAUCGUGGAUCAGCGUGCCACGGUGAAUGCGUUCCCGGGUCUUGUACACACCGCCCGUCACACCAUGGGAGUUGGUUCUACCUUAAGGCAAGGUUUAAAACCCUUGACCACGGUAUAGUCAGCGACUGGGGUGAAGUCGUAACAAGGUAACC